CAGUCGCCGCGGUAAUACGAAGGGGGCUAGCGUUGCUCGGAAUGACUGGGCGUAAAGGGCGCGUAGGCGGUUUAUACAGUCAGAUGUGAAAUUCCUGGGCUCAACCUGGGGACUGCAUUUGAUACGUAUGGACUUGAGUGGAGAAGAGGGUCGUGGAAUUUCCAGUGUAGAGGUGAAAUUCGUAGAUAUUGGAAAGAACACCGGUGGCGAAGGCGGCGACCUGGUCUUUAACUGACGCUGAGGCGCGAAAGCGUGGGGAGCAAACAGGAUUAGAUACCCGAGUAGUCCCUGUCUCUUAUAC
rnacentral:rRNA from 1 species